rnacentral:lncRNA from 1 species
UAUGUCUGAAUCUGAUACCUGUGCAGAUCAGGCUGGUCUUAAUCUUGUACACAAAAACUUUCCCAGAACUUUCUCUCUGCUGGACUGAUCUACAACUGUUUGAGGUCUGCCAUUCCAGAAGCAAUUGUUUUUAAAGAACAAAAGAAACCGUACCAGCCCGCUGCCACACGCUAAGUGCAGAACCAGCAUGCGAGAACGAAACUAACUGAGCUCUGUGCUCACGGCCCAAAACCGGAGGAAAACCACGAGCAGGCACAGCAGAGCAGGUAGCGGGGCGGGGGGGGAGGUUUAAUGACAUCGGUGUCAGCAGYUCGCGGUCUGCUACAGCUCCAGCUCCUGGCGCCGUACGGCGCAGCCCGACAGCAGMCCGAGGCGGCCGCGGGGAGCGGCACUGCUUCACCGCUGCUCCCGGGCCGCCCCCCGCGGGGGCGGGGCAGGGCAGCGCCGGGGCCGAGCUGUCUGCCCGCCCUGACCUCUAGCCUGGGCGGCCGGCGUCCUUCCUCUUCCUCCGGCUGCUCUCCUGGGAGCGCGAAUAUAGGUCACGUGAGGCGCGAUUCMGAUCUGACGAGUUCAGGAUGCAAUCCUGGUCUUACUGAAGUGAAUUGCAGAGCUCCCGUACCUACAAUUCUUCUUAAGUAGAAACUCUCUUCUCCGUAAAUACCUGGGGAGAAAGGCAACACACAAGCCCAGAAUGAAGAGAAGAUGAAAGAAAAUUCCAGAUCAUAUGUGGAGGCAGAGAGGAUUAAAAAAUAGCAGGUAGCUGGGAGCAUGUCACAACACAUCAAAUCAUGAUGGAAAGGCAGAAGACAACUUUUGGAGUGUUCCAUUUGGAAGAUGGUAAAAGAUCUGCUCUACUCUGACUGAAAUCCAAUGAAGAAAGCUUGCAAAGUAGCUGUUGGGGAUUAUUACAAUUCAGUGAGUGGCCAGCACAUCUCCUGGCUGAUCUCGGGGUAAGGGAAAUUCAAAGGCAGCUUAAACAUAUUCAUCCAAAACCAAAUACACWCCCAUAAUCUUGUCUCGAGCACAGAAACAGAAGAAUGGAACAUGUGUUCAUGGAUCUUUCCUGUCCACUCCCUCCUCUUUCCCAGUUUUAAGUACCUGGGGCAUAGUCAUAGAUAGAAAAUGGAAAAUGUUUCCUCAUCUUUUUCUUUUCCUGGAGAAACCUGACACUUUGAAAAAUAAGGAGUAAGCUUAUGCUGCCCUUACUGUCUGAAAGCAACUGGAUGUAAURUCAUGUGGCAGCUCAAAAUCUCAGUGUUACGGAACCGUGAAUGUUGUUGGGGCCUGGAUAUAGCAUUAUUCCAGUGAUACGUCUUUUUUCUGCUUUUUGAAAAUGAAUUUUCCACUAAGAUUAUGACUGCCAGAUUUCCUGCACCAUUUUCUACCCUCAAAUAUCUUAGAGGCUCCCAUCAUCUUAACACAAACUAUAAAAGGAAUGAUGUGGCCCUGGGACCACCUAUGUGCCUGUUACUAUGACACUUCAGACCACUGGUAGGCUGAAGAUAAGCCUUUUGAAACCCUUGUGUGAGUGAAUAGCCUUGCUCCCCGCUUACUAAAUUCAUUUAACUAGCUACAUUGUCAGCUUAUACUGUGAGCCGUGCAUUCUUUGAGAUGAAGCAUGUUACUCUUUAAAUAAUAG